rnacentral:sRNA from 1 species
UACACUCAGCUCCACAAUUAAAAGGUACACCACACUCAGCUCCAUAAAUAAAAGGUACACCACACUCAGCUCCAUAAAUAAAAGGUACACCACACUCAGCUCCAUAAAUAAAAGGUACACCACACUCAGCU